rnacentral:rRNA from 1 species
UCGAACGAAGCACUUUAUUACAAUUUCUUCGGAAUGACGAUUUAGUGACCGAUUGGCGGACGGGUGAGUAACGCGUGGGUAACCUGCCUUAUACAGGGGGAUAACAGUUAGAAAUGGCUGCUAAUACCGCAUAAGCGCACAGGAUUGCAUGAUCUGGUGUGAAAAACUCCGGUGGUAUAAGAUGGACCCGCGUCUGAUUAGCUGGUUGGUGAGGUAACGGCCCACCAAGGCGACGAUCAGUAGCCGACCUGAGAGGGUGACCGGCCACAUUGGGACUGAGACACGGCCCAAACUCCUACGG